AUAUUUAACGGCUUUAUUGCCUGUGUUUGCGGAGUGCAGCGUUGCCCGUGUAUAGAAAAUUCAAACGAAACGGGAUUUUGUGUGAGGAAUUGGUAAUCGUAAAUCUAAAAUUUUGCAAGGAGAGCCAACUCUAGAUAUUUUAGGAGCAAUAUAAUGAUUUUCCUGCAUUUUCAAAUACAGAAGUAGUGACCACGAUAUGGAGUGCGCCUCCUCUACUCUUUCGUUUAAGAUUCUGGCUAAUCAGUUGAUGAGUCUGCAGUCGACGACGGAGAUCAAUCAGCAACUUCUACAGGACGUCAUAUCCGCAAGAACUGCUAAUGCGAGCAACAUAGGCGGCCUUUCUUCUCACUUCUCAUCCACCAAUAUUUCCGUCGACAGUGACGCUGUUAGCAGUGCGCCUGAAGAAUGAUGAUUAGAACUAUUUUGGCCACGUGCACAAAAACUGAUGAAUCGAAUCCAGUACUGUAAUAAUUUUCUUCAUGGUCUGAUAUCGUAUUCUAUGCAUCAGAUCGAAAAGCAAGCUGGAUGUGUUCGUUUAUGAUGAUAUUGGUUAUUGAUGAAAUUUUGAUUAGAGGAAGAGAAGAACAUUUAAUUUUUUAAAUAUAUAGUAGCAUUUACUUCAAUUCAAUGUUAGUUAAUUUA